UGGAGAGCCAUGAGGCUGCUGGUUGAUUUGGUGGUCUUAAGGCCUUUCGUUUGGUUUGCGUCUUUAGUUUGGGUAUGCCUGUUUUGUAGGUUUCCAUUUUGUAUGUUUAUUUUCGUCACCAUCUGAACAACUACUAAUCCGCUUGGGCUCACCAAAGGCAUCAAGACAGAGCUGGUCCUGGACCUAAGUAAUUCCCCCAUGCUCCACCCAUGGCCCUCUGAAGAACUAAACAGACCUGUGCCCUCUGGAGAUCGGAAAAGCCAUUAACCCCUUUGAAGAACUGAAAAGUCUGUGCCCCUCUGAAGAACUGAAUCCCCUGUCAAAUCCUGUCCUGCCCUUAGUGGAGGAGUUGGGCUCUUCUCCAACACCAUCCAUCCAUCCAUCCAUGAUGAACCUUGUCCUGC
ensembl:lncRNA